rnacentral:tRNA from 3 species
GCGCCGGUAGCGCAACGGAUAGAGCACCUGACUUCGGAUCAGGCGGUUGGGGGUUCGAAUCCCUCCCGGCGCGCCA